rnacentral:rRNA from 1 species
GCGCACCAGGCGAGAAACCUCCGCAAUACACGAAAGUGUGACGGGGCCAUCCCGAGUGCCGUCCGCUGAGGGCGGCUUUUCCCCAGUGUACACAGCUGGGGGAAUAAGGAGAGGGCAAGCCUGGUGUCAGCCGCCGCGGUAAUACCAGCUCUCCGAGUGGUGGGGACGCUUAUUGGGCCUAAAGCAUCCGUAGCCGGCUGGGCAAGUCCUCGUUAAAUCCAACGAUUCAAUCGUUGGGCUGCGGGGGAUACUGUCCAGCUUGGGGGCGGGAGAGGCCGACGGUAUUCCCGGGGUAGGGGUGAAAUCCUAUAAUCCCGGGAGGACCACCAGUGGCGAAGGCUGUCGGCUAGAACGCGCCUGACGGUGAGGGAUGAAAGCU